AGUGAACGCUGGCGGUAGGCCUAACACAUGCAAGUCGAACGGCAGCACAGUAAGAGCUUGCUCUUACGGGUGGCGAGUGGCGGACGGGUGAGGAAUACAUCGGAAUCUACUUUUUCGUGGGGGAUAACGUAGGGAAACUUACGCUAAUACCGCAUACGACCUACGGGUGAAAGCAGGGGAUCUUCGGACCUUGCGCGAUUGAAUGAGCCGAUGUCGGAUUAGCUAGUUGGCGGGGUAAAGGCCCACCCAGGCGACGAUCCGUAGCUGGUCUGAGAGGAUGAUCAGCCACACUGGAACUGAGACACGGUCCAGACUCCUACGGGAGGCAGCAGUGGGGAAUAUUGGACAAUGGGCGCAAGCCUGAUCCAGCCAUACCGCGUGGGUGAAGAAGGCCUUCGGGUUGUAAUGCCCUUUUGUUGGGAAAGAAAAGCAGCAGGUUAAUACCCCGCUGUUCCGACGGUACCCAAAGAAUAAGCACCGGCUAACUUCGUG
rnacentral:rRNA from 1 species